UACGAAGGGGGCUAGCGUUGUUCGGAAUUACUGGGCGUAAAGCGCACGUAGGCGGAUCUUUAAGUCAGAGGUGAAAUCCCAAGGCUCAACCUUGGAACUGCCUUUGAUACUGGGGAUCUUGAGUCCGGAAGAGGUGAGUGGAACUGCGAGUGUAGAGGUGAAAUUCGUAGAUAUUCGCAAGAACACCAGUGGCGAAGGCGGCUCACUGGCCCGGUACUGACGCUGAGGUGCGAAAGCGUGGGGAGCAAACAGGAG
rnacentral:rRNA from 1 species